CCUACGGGAGGCAGCAGUGGGGGAUAUUGCACAAUGGGGGGAACCCUGAUGCAGCGACGCCGCGUGGGUGAAGAAGCGCCUCGGCGCGUAAAGCCCUGUCAGCAGGGAAGAAAAUGACGGUACCUGAAGAAGAAGCCCCGGCUAACUCCGUGCCAGCAGCCGCGGUAAUACGUAGGGGGCAAGCGUUAUCCGGAUGUACUGGGUGUAAGGGGGGCGCAGACGGCGAUGCAAGCCAGGAGUGAAAGCCCGGGGCCCAACCCCGGGACUGCUCUUGGAACUGCGGGGCUGGAGUGCAGGAGGGGCAGGCGGAAUUCCUGGUGUAGCGGUGAAAUGCGUAGAUAUCAGGAGGAACACCGGUGGCGAAGGCGGCCUGCUGGACUGCAACUGACGUUGAGGCCCGAAAGCGUGGGGAGCAAACAGGAUUAGAUACCCCUGUAGUC
rnacentral:rRNA from 1 species